rnacentral:rRNA from 1 species
AUGUAUGCUUCUAGACCCCCUCCAUUGGUCGCACGAUGGGACGAAAUGAUGGCUACUUUAAGAAGCGAUGCUUACGAGAAAGGAGGUCUUCAUAACGGGCUGAUUGAAAUGGUAGUUGAAUUCAUGAAUGCACGCAUUGCUGAUCAUGAAAAGAAGGUAGGCAGGAAGUUAAUGGAAAUUGAGCACAGAUUUGAUGUCAAAUACCAGACUCUAGGUGAAGACUUGAUCGACAUGAAGACUAAAACUGGCACUAAUCCUAGGUUGUCGCAGGCCGAGGAUGAAAUUAAAGUCUUAAGGAGGGAACUCCAUGACUUAAAAUACGAAUUUACAAGCAACCGACAAUCAGUGUCACAGAAAGGAGGCGUGCAGGUGAUCAAUAUGGCCCAACACGUUAAUAUCUAA